UACGUAGGGUGCGAGCGUUGUCCGGAAUUAUUGGGCGUAAAGAGCUUGUAGGCGGUUUGUCGCGUCUGCCGUGAAAAUCCGGGGCUCAACCCCGGACUUGCGGUGGGUACGGGCAGACUAGAGGUAUGCAGGGGAGAACGGAAUUCCUGGUGUGGCGGUGAAAUGCGCAGAUAUCGGGAGGAACACCGGUGGCGAAGGCGGUUCUCUGGGCCUUACCUGACGCUGAGGAGCGAAAGCAUGGGGAGCAAACAGG
rnacentral:rRNA from 1 species